UACGUAGGGGGCGAGCGUUGUCCGGAUUUAUUGGGCGUAAAGAGCUCGUAGGCGGUUUGGUAAGUUGGAUGUGAAAUCUCCAGGCUCAACUUGGAGGGGUCAUUCGAUACUGCCAUGACUAGAGUUCGGUAGGGGAGUGUGGAAUUCCUGGUGGAGCGGUGAAAUGCGUAGAUAUCGGGAGGAACACCGGUGGCGAAGGCGGCCUUCUGGACGGAUACUGACGCUGAGACGCGAAAGCGUGGGGAGCAAACAGG
rnacentral:rRNA from 1 species